AGCGAACGUUAGCGGCGCGCCUAACACAUGCAAGUCGCACGAGAAAGGGGGCAACCCCCGGUACAGUGGCGCACGGGUGAGUAACACGUGGAUUACCUGCCCCGGAGUGGUGGAUAACCUGCCGAAAGGUGGGCUAAUACAGCAUGAGACCACGCGGUUUCGAUCGUGAGGUCAAAGCGGGCUUCUGUUCACAAGCUCGCGCUCUAGGAUGGGUCCGCUGCCCAUCAGCCAGUUGGUAGGGGACCGGCCUACCAAGGCUACGAGGGGUAGCUGUACUGAGAGGGUGAUCAGCCCAACUGGAACUGAGACACGGUCCAGACUCCUACGGGAGGCAGCAGUGGGGAAUCUUGCGCAAUGGACGAAAGUCUGACGCAGCGACGCCGCGUGGGUGACGAAGGCCUUCGGGUUGUAAAGCCCUGUGGGGAGAGACGAACCGGCACGUGGCUAACAUCCAUGUGCUCUGACGGUAUCUCCUUAGCAAGCAUCGGCUAACUCUGUGCCAGCCGCCGCGGUAAGAC
rnacentral:rRNA from 1 species